rnacentral:lncRNA from 1 species
CUCAUGAUGCUCAGUAAACAGUAGCUCCCUUCACCUGCCUAGAAACCUCUCUGAGGGAAAGCACUUUGGAAAGGAGAGUGCUCUGUAUACAUUUACGGGUUUUGCUCGUUGCGCCAACUACACUGAGCACCUUGGGCAGGCAGCAAGAGUGCUUCAUCUCAAUCUCGCCUGCACCCAACCCAGGCCCGUGGCCGGCCUGGAGCAGCUGUGAUGCACCUGAGCAGGAUCUGCUGUGACCUGUUAGACAUGUGCGUCCUGCCUCAAGUUCGCCUCAAGGUUUCCUGAGGGCACAGACCAUCAUCUCUCUAAAGUCCUGCCCUGUGUGCUGGCUGCAGGCCUGGCCACGUGCAAAGAGGAAGUGAAUCUGCUCCAUAAAGCUCUCCUGCCACGUGACCCAAUUCUGAAGCAAGGGGGAGCCCAUCCCUAGCGUACUUUACCCUCACACACCAAGGACCCAGGCCAAAAUGAGAUUCGAGACAGAAUGUUUCACUCAUCUUGCCCUUUUCAGUGGUCUUUAGGAUAGCAAGAGAGAAAAAGCCUGAAGAUGGAAGAUUCUGUCAAGCCCUGCCAUCUCAAAAAGGUAUGGUGCUCCCUGGCCCACUAAAGCCAGAAGCCAGCAAAACCAUCCAACUCUGGGCCUGUCUUUCCCACGCUAGUACCAACAGAAACCAAACGCUAGGCUAAAAAGUCCAGACUAAGCUGAAAGGUACCAUUUGUAACCACAGACCUGGUUACACAGCCAGAAGGAUGUUUCCAAAGUGCAUUUGUGAGCACUUUACCCUCCUGAGCACAGCCUUUUCAUUGGCUCCCCACUGCCCAGAGAAGGAAGUCCACGCUCCUUCGCCUGGCACUCAGGGCCCUUCACUGGCUGGGUCAGUGUACCUGUGUGACUACACACUUCUCGGUAUCUGACACACACUGUCCCUACCCGCCGUCUGGGCCCACUCCUUCUCCAGAGCUGCCUCUUUCCUAGGGCUCAGCCCUUCUCUCCUCUGGACCCCCAGCACCUUGGACUUCCCUGAGCCCUGCUCUGUAUUUUUUCAGUCACCUGCUCUCCCCGUCAGUGCUCACCUCUCACUCAAAACCUAAGGUCCUUAUGGGCAGACUUACCUUGCUCAUCCUCUGUGCUUACACAAAACAGAUGCUCAGGAAGCCUUUGUGGGAAGAUGGAUGGUUCUGGGCAGCAAAUGGGAGGAAGUUUCCAGUCAUGAUUAAGCCAAAAGGUCUCCUGGUAACACUGAGAAGUCUACGUCACUGGAUGGCACGGUAUCAGAUCGUUACAGCGUAUGAGUAUGAAUACAAUAGGACCUUUCUUGUUCUGGAUGACGUCACAGAGACCCUCAUCCCUGGGCCACCACCAC